CGUAGCUCAGUUGGUUAGAGCACAUCACUCAUAAUGAUGGGGUCACAGGUUCGAAUCCCGUCGUAGCCA
rnacentral:tRNA from 2 species